rnacentral:rRNA from 1 species
UACGUAGGGGGCAAGCGUUGUCCGGAAUUACUGGGCGUAAAGGGUGCGUAGGCGGACUUAUAAGUCAGUGGUGAAAUCUCGUUGCUUAACAACGAACGUGCCAUUGAUACUGUAGGUCUUGAGUACAGAUGCCGUUGGCGGAAUGUGUCAUGUAGCGGUGAAAUGCAUAGAUAUGACACAGAACACCGAUUGCGAAGGCAGCUGACGAAACUGUAACUGACGCUGAGGCACGAAAGCGUGGGGAUCAAACAGG